CCAGUAUCCACGGUGACCAGAAAGAAAAAAGAGCCAGGCUGUCUAAGGAGCAGCUGGCUUCUAGACUGAGAGUGUGUGUGUGUGUGUGUGUGUGUGUGUGUGUGUGUGAGGGAGACAGCGAGAGCAAGAGAGAGAGGGGGGGGGAGGUAGAGAACACAGAAAAGAGGAGAGAAGAACCACAGAAAAGUCAGAAUUGUGCAGGACCGAAAUAAAGAAAGCAGAGAGGAGAAGAGAACAGAUACGAAGGACCAGGGCCAUCACCGAGUUACUAAGAAGAGGAAAAACUAAAAAUCUGAAAACAGCUGUGACAGCGAGAAAGAGGAGCACUUGGACACUGCAGAUAACAGAGGGCGUUUUUGCAGUUACACCUAAAGUUGUUUUAAAAGCCUUGCCGGACUAAAACCGGUUCUUUUUUUUUCCUUUUGUGUGCAUGUAACUGGCGCGAACUGUCAGUCGACCAUCGAGCCCUGAGGACAUCAGUAUAACUCCAAGGUUGCAGUCAGCAGAGGUUUCUGCUAACUCCAAGUGUCCCCGUUCUCCCGCAACAGAGCCACACGCGCGGACGGGACGAACCAGGGCUCGGCGUCCACUAAGCCGUGUGAUCUGACCCAGGGGCCAAUAUGGAGGUAAAGGAGGAGCUGCUGGACAUGCUACAGAAAGUGUGGCUCAAGCUGCAGGGCCUGCCCCACGCCAGCGCCCUGGAGCUGGGAGCCUUCCUUGUCCUGAUCCUCUUUAUAGCCACCUUCCUGCUCAUGAUCAUGCUCUCCUGUGUCCACUGCUGUUGGUGUGGUAAGCCCAAGUACCAGGCCUCACGAGUGCAGCCCAUACACCCUGUCUGAGCACGGUGGCCUCCUUACUGCGGAGUUGCAAAUUCUUCUUGUACCCCCACCCCCCACCACGCGGGCCACCCCUCGUCCUUGUGUGCGCUUCAUCUCUGGCCGGGGUCCAUGCCCACCGCAGAUUUCACAGGAAGGGUGUCGAUCCCGCUGUGUAACACGGAGGCAAGCAGAUAGUCCAGACCCAGCUGGUCCUCCUCAGUCCAGCCUCCAGUGUGGAGGAGGUAACACUAUGGAAUCUUCUUCUGCUACAUGUGAAAGAAAAAUGAAGAAUCCAAAUUUAAAAGAUAGCAGUCAAAGGAAGCCAUCGUGACACCGGAUGCUUGAAAACAGACAAAUUCUUUCUUCUGUUUUUACUCCAUCAACAGCUGGAUCCCUGUUCUGGCCUCCAGAGCCCUCUGGCUCUUGCCAGGGAAAUUUACAUUUUUCAGACUGUGCAAUUACUUUCCACAAAGAAAACAACCAGUACAGAGGAAGUCACAGCUCUGCUCAGAAGCAAUGACUGCUGAACGAGCAAUGAAAGAUGAGCGAUAUAAAAAAACCCUGUGUUCUGAAUACAACACAAAAAAGGAUUUUAAAGCAAAAUACUAGACUUCCAAAAAAAAAAAAAACAUGAAAGACUGUUUAAAAAGUGCCUGUGGUCAUAGUGCUGCCAAGCAUUAUUCAUAGUUAGAGAGAAUUAUGAAAAAGACAAAUGGGCUAAAAAUGGGCUUCACAGUACGUUUUUUGCCAAGAAUUCAUCAGUCCCAGUAAGUCGCCAGUGACUAAGGAGUAAUCUUAAUGAAGAAAAACAACACAAAUAAAAGAGUGACAGGUUAAGAUUUUGUCCUGCUUACAGACCUUGUUUAGGAAAUAAAAUUAAAGUGAUUAACGCACCAUAAAAUCCAAAGCAAUACAAUUACCUAGAAGUGAUGGGAACAUGUACCCUGGCUAUGAUGUGACACUCCAGACCUGAACAAAGCAGUUCUUGAUAUUUCGUGGUACGAUAACUGACUAUAUUUCUUUAGGUCGGAUUGGAACGGAUUCCACGCAGUAUUGUAAUGUCUCUCUACUUUUCAAGGAGGAAGCAUAAAGCAACGUCCCUUUUUAGUCUCAGGUCCUUCAGCGGUCUCCUGUUGUCUGGCAGUGUGUGUUUGAUGCAGUGUUCAGUACAUUGUUUUGCACUGUUUAUGUGGGCUCACGCCUUUUGAUACGCUUCCUUGGAGAAAUACUUUGUGUUCUCUACUAGACACACCAUUUUCUUUGCUGAUGAAGGAAAAUGUGCAUUUACCAAUAUAUAGCUUUACCUUAUUUUUACAUG